rnacentral:sRNA from 1 species
UAGUCUAUAGUCUUAGGCCCAAUUGUGACCUUUUUGGGAGGUGGUACAGCCACUUUUGUUAGACACCCCCACACUUUUAGGUAUUUGUACGAGGGUACUGUACCUUUCCAAAGUUAAUGUGGUGACUUUGCAGUCACCUUAUGUGGUAUCCUAUUAAGGAUGUAGUUAGUGGUAAGCAAAGUUUUCCCCCACAUGUUCUGGGUUGAUAAUAGGUUUUUAGUCAAUUAUCCUAAAACACCAAUCAUGUCGUUGUAGUAUUUUAGGUAUCAAUCCAAAUGGGUGUGAUGCUAACAAUCAAGAUGUGAUCAGAAGUCACUAAGUCAAGCCAAGCAAUAACAGAUUUUGGUGUGUCCUAGCAGUCCUAAGUGAACAUGCAGAAAACAGAAAAUCAAGUAGAAACAAUAAAACACUCGACCAACACAGCUCGAUGCAGCUCAACACAGGGUGUGGUCGAGUGACAGGUCGAGUAACGGACAGAAAAUGUAACAGGGAUACUUGACUGCAGAGUCUGUUGCCAGAUAACUGGGUGGUCGAGUAUCAGGUCGAGUAACAGCAAAGAAUUGCAGGGACUAAGCAACAGAUGACAAGAUGCAGUAAACAACGGUAGAGUAAAAAAUAAAAUUAAUCAGAUAAAGAAUUCUCGAGGAUGGGGUAAUUGAGUAGUUUUGUUUCCUCAGUUUACAGGUGAUUGACAUGGCUCAAUAAAUUAUCCCUACACAACAAGUUCAUUAACCAAAUCUAAGUACCACCGCAACAGAGACCCUCAAGUUAACCUAGUCCCAGACUCAAUCACCAUUGACGAGAGCUAACCUAACAGGCAUUACGAAUCAACAAGUUAAAGGCAAAACGCUCCCUGCAACCAAUACUUUGGUACAGGGACACGAAUCUCUGGAAUUAGUUGUUUAAACAUUUCAUCGAACACCUUUUGGGCGCGGAAAUGUCUGGGCUCAAAUUCUGGUUGAUCAGAAAGCAAUAGGCAUUAAGAACAACUAAUCCAGAAGGGAUCUAUCAAUCAAACUCAACCACCUAGCAUACUGAGAAUUCUAAACUACUCUAAUCCAUCCUCAGAAACCUAUUCACUACUGAGACAUCAUUGAAGAAAACAUAAACGUUGAAUGGAGUGAAAACAUGAUAACAACAAUGUAAUAGCAAGGUGAUAACAGGAUGAACAACAGUAAACGAAAUCAAGAACAAAUACCGAAUAUUUAAUACUGAAUAGAUAAAGAGAAAUCCGGAUUACAAAAGGUCAAGAACACAGUGUCUGCGAAAUAAAACUUAGAAAAAACUUGUUCUCGAAAAUGUAAAGUACGUGCUACUUAUAGCAAAAAUAUUCCGAAACCCUAAUACUCAAAACGACGCAGUAUUGAGACGGAUUAAGAACUGUACUCGACCCAGGUGGUCGAGUGAGAGGUCGAGUGAUAAGCUAGAAUCUUCUUUUUUUCCUUGUGCUCGAGUGUCUGGUUGAGUGCGGAAUGGAGAAGACUCUGAAGCUCGACAUCGAGUAUGUAGUCGAGUGGUGGUGAUGGUGAUACUCGACUUCCAGGUAGAGUCGUGUGAUCAAGUGAUGGUCAGGUGGUGGAGGUGAAGACACUCGACCUGGGGGUCGAGUGAAGUGAUCGAGUGACUCUCGUGGGGUACUCGGCCAGGGGGUCGAGUGAUGAGGUGAAGUGGUGAAAUCCUAUACUCGACCAGGUGGUCGAGUGGUGUGUUGAGGUCGUGAAGCGUCUACUCGACCUGAGGUCGAGUGGUUUGGCAUGAUCAGGUCCGCUUCUUCCAAUUAGUUCUUCAACAGCUCCGAAUCACUUGAAAACAACACAAAUAUGCCACAUGCAUGCAAAACUAUCCUAAACAUGCAAAGUGAUGACAAAUGAUGAGAAAUGGUAUAAAAUAGUGAUGAUAUGGUGCUAAAGUGAUGACAAAUGGAUGCUUAAAACAUGCAAAAUACACACUUAUCAACUCCCCCAAACUUAGUCUUUGCUUGCCCUCAAGCAAACAAUUAAGAACAAGCUAGAGGUGAGGUUUGAAAUCGGGGACUCAGAGCCAAAGCACUAGAUAAACCAAAUGAAAUCAAUGUCCAAGUUGAUAGUUCUAAGCUGCGAUAUGAUCGAAUUCUACUGAAAAACUUUAGCCAUGCCUUACUAUCAAUCAAUCCGACUCAUAUGCUCGACCUACACAUGUUUUCAAAUCUACCAAUCCCUUUAACAUUCAUUAGUUCUGGAACGUGAAUCAAGCAAUGCAUCAUCAAUGAACUCAUUUGGCUAAGGUAAAAGGUCAAGAGACAAAGAUGGUCCCUUACAGAAUAGGCUUCAGUAACAGGGGAUCUCUCAAAAAAUGAUUAAGCUUUAGUAGAAUGCUAAAGGUAAGUCCCAAGCUAUGCAUGCAGAGAUAAAAUCCCAUCUACCUAGAGUAUAUCAGAUGAAGCUUUAAUGGUAAUCCCAUCUCCAAUCCCAGUAUAAGAACUUACCUCUACCCUUUGCAUUCAUGAAUCCUUUAAGCCCUUUUUCUAAUCAUUCUUUUCUUUUCUCUUAACUCUAGGAAAAGCUUUCUCAACACUUUGAUACAUCUAGCGGAUUUGGAUUUCUUUAACAACUAAGGUUCCUGUUUUUAACAUUUUAAAACCGAGGGCUUUUGCCCAUCUUCAAUAGCUAACAAGAACUCUUUCUUUUUUUUACAAAUCCCAAAACCUUUACUAGACUUUUUCUGCUUCUUUAGCUUACUUCACCUAGAGUCUUUUACCUUUUCUCAUCAAUGAAUCAACCCCUUUUUUUUCUUUUAAACACAUCCCAACCUAAAGUAUAAGCGCCCACCCAGUCCUAUCUAGUCCAAAAAAUGCGAACUAGAACUACAUGAGACACUAUCUCUGUCGUUACGAACCUAACACUUUUUACCAAGCUGAAUCGGAAUAAGACCUCACAAACCCUCACGAGUGAUAUAAGGCUUGAAAAAAAGUCUAGGUUUGGGUUCGGGUUAACUGCUCUAAUAAGGAGAGUCAGCUACUUGGAUUAACAAGAGUGAUCAAAAUGAAUAAGAAAAUCCAAGUAUUUUAGGGUAUCCAUGAGUUCAAAUUUGAUGCAGACAUGAUAAUUAAAGAUCAAAUUCAGGUUCAAAUUGAUAGGGAAUGGUAUCAGAUCAUGACAGUGUGGUCGAGUAGAGCAAUCUAGGCAUGGUUCAGUUUUCUUUCAAAUUCAUUCACUACGCAACACACAACUAACAACGAGGGCACUGAGUUAAUCCGGUGAACCAAAAUGCUUACAAGGCUAUCUCAUCAUUAUCCCCUAUGCAUAUGCAACAAUCCUAAAUGAAACACUCUAGACUUGAUCCUAAAUGUAAUGCAACUACAUGAACACUCUUUUUUUGUGAAAUCAUUUUCUGAAAUUUUUAAUUUUUUUUUGGUUUUUCUAUGCCUUAGAUGAAUGCAGACUUAAAAAUAUAUACAAUGCAACAUACUUCCUGAGCCCUCCCCCAAACUUAAAUCACACAGUCCACUGUGUGAAUAAACUUGGAAGAGAGUACUCAGGACAAAUCCAAUCACUGAAACAAAAUAAAGAACAAAUCACAAGAGAUGAUAUAAUAUAAUGGUGAAGUGAGGCGCUUACCUCAGUCGAAUAAUGAACGAAGUUGGUAGUCAAUGGCUGCCUGUGAUUGCUCCCAAGCCAUAGACGAACCGCCAUGUUCCGUAUCAGCUCCAGCAUGUGGGUACUCGAUCUCAUCAGCUCUGUGGCGGCCAGCACCGCUCUGAGGAUACUCGACCUCUCUUCUUCUAUUGCGGCCAGCACCGCGGUCGCGUAAACUACGAGACUGCAGAAGUCGUCUGCUCCUGCUGCUAGAUCGAGUGAGUGUCGUUCUCCUAUUCUUCCUAGAUUCACGAGGCUCGAAUGAUGAAUGCCUCGCAGGGACAUGCAGAAUCUUCUGCUCUCUAGGCUCGGGCGCGUCAUAUCUCCUCGAAGGCAUGUCCUGAGGGAGCUGUCAUUGCGGAAUAGUUGUAGUGGAAGAGGAGCAGCUGAUCUUGUCCUUCAGAAACUUGAUAGCCCUGAGGCACUUGGCGAGUAACUUAUCCUGUUUCUUGCACCACUUCUGCAGCUUGCUGUUGUUCCUGUGAGCUUCGCUCAAACUCUUGCUUUUCCUCGCUGGAGGUAUAUGCUCACUGAAAUGAUACAUGCUCGUGUCAAACUCCGCCUCAUCUAUAUCAUAUGUCUCAUCAACAUCUUCUAUUGUAGCUCCUUCGGUGUGACUAAUCUCCUCAGUUGGCGGACUGCCCUCGAAAUAAAGAUCUUCAAGCGCAGGCUUGAAGUCAAUGUUCCUGCCCUCGAGAAUCCUAGUAGCGUAAAUGCAGGGGAAAAGAAUGUUGGCGAUUCUAAUCGAUGAAUGCUCGAACCUGUAGCGGUGAAAGUCGCCAACCAUGUCAAACUCAGAGAACUCACAUCGGCGCAAGUGAUCCAAGUCCAUCAUUCUCGGUGCUAACCCUACUUCCUUGAGCGGAACUCCACAAACUUUCAGAAUUGGCGUCACAACGCCACCCACGCAUAGUGCUCCUCUUACCUUCUUCUUGCCGUUUGUCAGCGCCCACUUCAUGUACCCACACAGAUGGAUCAACAGAGGCAUUACUGGUGGUGAGUCGUUAAGAUCUCCUCUCAGGACAUUCUUUCCUUUUGUAAGGCGGAGAAUCCCUAUAAGCGCUGAAUCUAUCAUCUUCAUGUCUGUGUUAGACACGGUGCCUGUAGACUCCCUGGAGUAAAAAACAUUGGCAACCGAGCGCUGAAAGUAGCGAAUCACAGGACUCCGGAUUUGGUUGCUCUUGGACCGCGUCGAGUUUAGCGGUAGAUUGUUCCCAAUAGUAGCCCACAAAUCCUUAAGCUCUUCCCUGUCAAACCUGGGGUUGGUUCCCUUUCCACUAGGGAAACCAAACAGUUCUUCCAAUUUCUUGAUCUAAAUCUGGUACCGCUGUUCAUCCACUAAGAACGUCAAGAAGCCUAACCCCAUGGUAUCCAGCUCAAAGUCUGUGAGUCCCUCAUACAUUUCCACUUGCAGUGUGGAAAGAAACUCGAUUGUCUCCUCCUUAUCAGAUGACACUUCUCGAACAGAUGCUGCACGUCCUCCAGUAACCCCAACUGGGCUAAAGUCUCAUAUCAGGGAUACCUCGUUCCCCAGAAGUCAUUCAUCUCAAAGAAUCUGAUAUACUCCUCCACUGUAACCUCGUCGGAUUUGUUCAGUAGCUUCGUCUCCUUGCGCCAUGACUCUGGCUCAUACUCAGUUUUGAUAUCCUCAUCAAUCAGCUCAUAUCUACUCGACAUCGCCCUCUUUCCUCUAGCGAUUUCAGCUCUUCUUUGAUUACGUCGAGCUGCAGAGCGUUCAAAUUCAUCCCUAUAGCUCUCGUAAACAUGUUGCUCUCACUCCGGUCUAGUGGACCAGGACUUAGCUUCAUCCACAUUAUAAUCAGGGUCCAUAGAGGAUUUUCCACUGUAGUUACUCAUGAUGAAACCUAAAAACAGACGAAACUCAAAGAUAAACGUUAAUAUGUUAGUAAUAGCAAAACCAAAAACACAAUCUAAACCAGCGUACCGGUCGAGUAAACCGGUUGAGUGAAACUGUCGGUUUUGACUUUUUUUUUCUUU